ACUGCCAAGGCUAAAAAGCAAAAUAUAAAUACAACCUGUUCAGCCUUCUCUAUGAGUACAAAAUACCACAAGCUGGUAUAUAGACUAAUCACUGUAUGGCUACACUCAUGAAAUUUCAACAACGUGAACAGCUGAACAAGCUCAACACAAUGACAAUACCAGUUGCCAUGCCUGACUGGAUUGGGGAAAUCUUACAAGGCUCAUCACCAGAUGAAGAACUACAGGCAAUUAAUGGCUGCUAAGAGAGGCAGAACUAGUCUUCUUCAGGGACAGAGCCCUGAUGGGUUAUUCAAUCCCAAAUACUAAACACAAAUACAUACGACCAAUACUAAAUGGACAGCAGAGUGUAUUUCUUUAAACACAUGUGUAUGUAAAUAAAUAUAUAUGUAACAAUCAUAAUUAAAAAAGACAUUGUGAAUUUGAGAGGGAGUUGGGAGGAAUUGGAGGAAGAGGGGUGGAAAUGAUGUAAAUACAGUACUCAUGUAUGAAAAAAAUCAGAAUAAUAAAAAGUAUAUAAACCC
rnacentral:lncRNA from 1 species